UACAGAGGGGGGCAAGCGUUGUUCGGAAUUACUGGGCGUAAAGCGCACGUAGGCGGCUUUGUAAGUUUAGAGGUGAAAGCCCCGGGGCUCAACUCCGGAAUUGCCUUUAAGACUGCAUCGCUAGAAUUGUGGAGAGGUAAGUGGAAUUCCGAGUGUAGAGGUGAAAUUCGUAGAUAUUCGGAAGAACACCAGUGGCGAAGGCGACUUACUGGACACAUAUUGACGCUGAGGUGCGAAAAGCGUGGGGAGCAAACAGG
rnacentral:rRNA from 1 species